rnacentral:rRNA from 1 species
UGCCUGGCGGCGAUAGCGCGGUGGUCCCACCUGAUUCCAUGCCGAACUCAGCAGUGAAACGCCGUAGCGCCGAUGGUAGUGUGGGGUCUCCCCAUGUGAGAGUAGGACACUGCCAGGCAU